UGGAGCUAAGAUAAUGUCACGGUGCCCCCGGCUGACUCCUCCCCCUCAUCAGCUACACCUGAUGCCUCCAGCUGCACCUCCUCAUCCUCGUCUGGCCGCAGGUUCUUAAGGAGACCACGGACCUGCAAUCAACGCUAGUUCGUUGUACUUCCUCGGAUCCCAUCUUCGUUUGGACCCUUCUGGUGGCUGUUCACGACUCGCUAUCCACGUUCCUGUCGCUCCUCUGGUUUCAACGGUUGACGCCGCCAAGACCCUCCAACCAUCUCCGCUGCCUAUCACAGGAAACCUGGGACUCAGCUUCGUCCAUGCAAUCUCAUUAAAACCUGUUCCUCGUA